AGCAAAAGUCUCUCCGAGCUGAAGAUGCCGCUCUCCCGCUACUCUCGGCGGGACAAGGGCAGCCUGAAAGCGCCCGGCUACAAAUACCUCACCGGCCCGCCCGGAGCCUCCCCCCCGGGCAGGCACCGCCGCGCCCCUACCUGAGCCACCACAUGUAGCUGUGCUCGUAGGGGAAGAAGCUGUGGGGGUCAUCGCAGCAGUACUUGACGUCCUGGAAGCCGCAGCAGAACACGGCGCGGGCGUCGCCGCCCGCCCGCGGGCAGCUGAACCCGCUCACCAGCACCUUGUCGGCGUUGAGGUCUUGCCUUGACAUGAACUCCAGGCAAGUGGAGUGUCGUCUUCCAGCUGUCGGGCAAAAGUAAGAGCCAGGAGUGAUGGCAGCUCAGGGAGGUGCAGCCCUGCAGGAUCUGAAGGUGGACAGGCUGGUGGAUGGGCACCAUCAGCAGCGCCAGGCAAGAACUAAAUAACGAAGAAGAAGAAAGUGAUUUUAAGCAUCAAGAAGUAAGAAGAGGCUUCAGUCAAAAUUUUAAGGAAGAGGAAAAACCAGUGAAACACAGUGAAGUAGGAAGUUGGCACCAGUAAU